UACGUAGGGUGCGAGCGUUGUCCGGAAUUAUUGGGCGUAAAGAGCUCGUAGGCGGUGUGUCGCGUCGGCCGUGAAAACCUGCAGCUUAACUGUGGGCGUGCGGUCGAUACGGGCAUCACUGGAGUUCGGCAGGGGAGACUGGAAUUCCUGGUGUAGCGGUGAAAUGCGCAGAUAUCAGGAGGAACACCGGUGGCGAAGGCGGGUCUCUGGGCCGAUACUGACGCUGAGGAGCGAAAGCGUGGGUAGCGAACAGG
rnacentral:rRNA from 1 species